rnacentral:ribozyme from 11 species
AAAGAAAAACACAGAAGAGAAUGAAGAAAGGGAAAAAGGAAAAGAGAAGACGAUAUAGUCUGUCAGAGUGUGUGUGUGUGUCUGUCAGUCAGUCAGUCUGCCUGUCGGUCUGUCUGAAAACGAAGUCAUUGAGUGUUUCUUCCUUUCUUUCCGGUCGCACGCCUUUCUGACUGUUGAGAACAGGAGGGAAGGAAA